rnacentral:rRNA from 1 species
GAUGAACGCUGGCGGCGUGCCUAAUACAUGCAAGUCGAACGGACGGACGAUAAGCUUGUGUCGCUGCUGUUAGCGGCAGGCGGGUGAGUAACGCGUGGAUCCCCUACUUCUCUUUCUGGGAUAACUUCGUGACACCGGAGAUUAUACCAGAUCAUAUUUUGAACCGCGGGGUUCAAAGGUGAUUGACGGUCUUUCUGUCACUUAUAGCUGUUUCCGCGCUGCCUGAGCUGGUUGGUAAGGUACCGGCUUACCAAGGCAACGAUGCAUAGCCGAAGUGAGAGGGUGAUCGGCCACACUGGAGGUGAGACAGGGUCCAGACUCCUACGGGAGGCAGCAGUAGGGAAUGGUCGGCAAUGGGCGAAAGCCUGACGGAGCAACGCCGCGUGAGUGAUGAAGGUCUUCGGAUCGUAAAACUCUGUUGUUAGGGAAGAACAGAUGUGGAAGUAAAUGUGGAGAUCGUGACGGUACCGAAUCAAGAAGCACCGGCUAACUACGUG